rnacentral:rRNA from 1 species
GAGGAGCUUGCUCUUCUUGGAUGAGUUGCGAACGGGUGAGUAACGCGUAGGUAACCUGCCUGGUAGCGGGGGAUAACUAUUGGAAACGAUAGCUAAUACCGCAUAAAAUGGAUUAUCGCAUGAUAAUUCAUUGAAGGGUGCAAAUGCAUCACUACCAGAUGGACCUGCGUUGUAUUAGCUAGUUGGUGGGGUAACGGCUCACCAAGGCGACGAUACAUAGCCGACCUGAGAGGGUGAUCGGCCACACUGGGACUGAGACACGGCCCAGACUCCUACGGGAGGCAGCAGUAGGGAAUCUUCGGCAAUGGACGGAAGUCUGACCGAGCAACGCCGCGUGAGUGAAGAAGGUUUUCGGAUCGUAAAGCUCUGUUGUAAGAGAAGAACGAGUGUGAGAGUGGAAAGUUCACACUGUGAUU